rnacentral:tRNA from 1 species
CAUAGCUCAGUUGGUUAGAGCAUCUGACUGUUAAUCAGAGGGUCCCUGGUUCAAGUCCAGG